rnacentral:lncRNA from 1 species
GUAUGUGUUUUUCCCUUAUAAUUAUUUGGAAAAAAAAGUGAGUUUUUUUUUUCCUUUAAAUUGUACAUGUAAAAGACAAUGAAAAAAUUAUUCAGAAAAUAAUUCUAGUCUUUCAUUUUCUAUGAAGACAUGUUGCUUCUCGAAUUGAAACAAUUACCCCUAUAAUUUACCGCUCAUAUUCAGAAUCAAAAUAGAAUUUCCUACCUGAAAAAAAAAAAAAAACAUCAACAAUUCCCACUCAAAUGAUAAUUACCAUUCACUGUUAAAAAAAUAUAGUUUGGCAAAUCCAACGACAAAGAAAGAAAAGAAAAUAUAGUGGAAGUAUCGUAAUCUUGUUCUCAUUUUAUCAAGCUAAGUUUUUUAUUUUCCUUUAUUUAAGAUCUUUAAUUUUAUUAUUUUCUGUUUAUGCUCAUCAUAAAUAUGUGAGCAGUUUUUUUUGUCUUAGAAUUUUAGAGAGUAGUCUAAAAAUAGACUUUUCAUAAUUCCAAUUCUUUAUUUCAAUAAUUCUCCGUUUAUUUAGGAAUUGGAUUCCAUGAAUUCAGGAACCAUGCAGUCAGGCUGCAGUCAGUAAUUUCCAACCGUACGAUCAAAAUUGAACGGCACAGAUCUUAUGCAGUUUUAUUUUUUAAAAUAAUAAAAAAUCUGACUUUAAAAUCUGAACCGUCUGAUUUCAAUCGGACAGUCCAGAUCUUACUGACUGCAUGCAGUCAUGAUUUUUGACUGCACAUAAUCUGCAUCCAUUUAUUUAUGCAUGAUGAUCACAUAAAACUGUAUCAUAAUUAAUUAACUCACAACGAGUAUCAUAGCACUCCCACUCAUAAUGACCUAUCGCGGACGGACAAUCAUAGACAGUUUUGCAAGGAAUAUCAUCAACUGCAUUGUCAUAUAAGAAUAAAGGAAAGUUACUAAGAGGUUAUAUAAUAAUAUUUAUAUUUAUAUAAGAUAAAUUUGAAAAUGGUGUGAAAAAGGACAUACUUUGCUUAAAAAGGGCGAGAUACGAAAAAAGAAAUACCAUCAUAGCAUAAACAAACAUGGAAGUUUUAGCCAUAUUUUUUUUAUUUUGCAUUUCAUAAAUAAAAUGUUUUUGAACCGCUUUAUAAGUAAAAGUUUGCAUGCUUUGUUAAUAAAAGCUUAGCACUUAGUAGUUGCAAUAAGACAUUUUGUAAAAUUAGAAUUAAUUUUAAAUGUGUCUGAUCAAUAUGUAAUCUCAAUUAAUUUUUAGCACAUUACAAGAAGUCAUUUGUU